CGCAUCCUUCGGGGUGAGUGGCAGACGGGUGAGUAACGCGUGGGAACGUGCCCUUCAGUUCGGAAUAACCCAGGGAAACUUGGGCUAAUACCGGAUACGUGCGAGAGCAGAAAGAUUUAUCGCUGAAGGAUCGGCCCGCGUCUGAUUAGCUAGUUGGUGGGGUAAUGGCCCACCAAGGCGACGAUCAGUAGCUGGUCUGAGAGGAUGAUCAGCCACAUUGGGACUGAGACACGGCCCAAACUCCUACGGGAGGCAGCAGUGGGGAAUAUUGGACAAUGGGCGCAAGCCUGAUCCAGCCAUGCCGCGUGAGUGAUGAAGGCCUUAGGGUUGUAAAGCUCUUUCAGCGGGGACGAUAAUGACGGUACCCGCAGAAGAAGCCCCGGCUAACUUCGUGCCAGCAGCCGCGGUAAUACGAAGGGGGCUAGCGUUGUUCGGAAUCACUGGGCGUAAAGGGCGCGUAGGCGGCUUUGUAAGUCGGGGGUGAAAGCCUGUGGCUCAACCACAGAAUUGCCUUCGAUACUGCAUGGCUUGAGACCGGAAGAGGUUAGUGGAACUGCGAGUGUAGAGGUGAAAUUCGUAGAUAUUCGCAAGAACACCAGUGGCGAAGGCGGCUGACUGGUCCGGUUCUGACGCUGAGGCGCGAAAGCGUGGGGAGCAAACAGGAUUAGAUACCCUGGUAGUCCACGCCGUAAACGAUGAAUGCCAGCCGUUGGCGAGCUUGCUCGUCAGUGGCGCAGCUAACGCUUUAAGCA
rnacentral:rRNA from 1 species